rnacentral:rRNA from 1 species
UACGGAGGGGGGCUAGCGUUGUUCGGAAUUACUGGGCGUAAAGAGCUCGUAGGCGGCUUGUCGCGUCGACUGUGAAAAACCCGUGGCUUAACUAUGGGUCUGCAGUCGAUACGGGCAGGCUAGAAUUCGGUAGGGGAGACUGGAAUUCCUGGUGUAGCGGUGAAAUGCGCAGAUAUCAGGAGGAACACCGGUGGCGAAGGCGGGUCUCUGGGCCGAUAUUGACGCUGAGGAGCGAAAGCGUGGGGAGCGAACAGG